CAAUGGUUGUUCUUCUGUUUUUUUCUUUCUUUCUUUCCUCCAGGUAUUUUUUUUCAGUGAGGAAACAGGCUUAUAGAUCAUACAGAAUGAUGUUUUCUGUGAUGGCGAGAUCAGGUACUUUUCUGUUGGAGCAUAAAACGGGAGAGAAAUCCAACAGAUGCACAAUUUGAAGGGGGAACCGUACCAUAUCGACACACUAUUCUUCCUGUUUAAUACUGUAAAGCUAUAAAGAAUUGACUAUAGAAACCAAUGGCAACAAACCGCUGAAGUUAUGAACGCCUCUUAGUUUAAAGGGUUUGUUUCAACUGGCUGUACAAUAUCAC
rnacentral:lncRNA from 1 species